rnacentral:rRNA from 1 species
AUACGUAGGUGACAAGCGUUAUCCGGAUUUACUGGGUGUAAAGGGCGUGUAGGCGGUUUAGCAAGUCAGAAGUGAAAUUCCCGGGCUUAACUUGGGCGCUGCUUCUGAAACUGCUUUACUUGAGUGCUGGAGAGGAUAGUGGAAUUCCUAGUGUAGCGGUAAAAUGCGCAGAUAUUAGGAGGAACACCGGUGGCGAAGGCGGCUAUCUGGACAGUAACUGACGCUGAGGCGCGAAAGCACGGGGAGCAAACAGGAUUAGAUACCCUGGUAGUCCGUGCCGUAAACGAUGAAUACUAGGUGUAGGGGGUAUCGACUCCCUCUGUGCCGCAGUUAACACAUUAAGUAUUCCACCUGGGGAGUGCGGCCGCAAGGUUGAAACUCAAAUGAAUUGACGGGG